GCUCCUGUAGCCCAAUUGGAAUGAGGCCGCCGCCUUAAAAGCGGUUGUUAUUUUGUGUGGGUUCGAUUCCCUCCAGGAGCA
rnacentral:tRNA from 2 species